rnacentral:rRNA from 1 species
AUACGGAGGGUGCGAGCGUUAAUCGGAAUUACUGGGCGUAAAGCGUGCGCAGGUGGUUUUGUAAGUCAGAUGUGAAAUCCCCGGGCUUAACCUGGGAACUGCGUUUGAAACUGCAAGGCUAGAGUGUGGCAGAGGGGGGUGGAAUUCCGCGUGUAGCAGUGAAAUGCGUAGAUAUGUGGAGGAACACCGAUGGCGAAGGCAGCCCCCUGGGUCAGCACUGACGCUCAGGCACGAAAGCAUGGGGAGCAAACAGGAUUAGAUACCCCGGUAGUCC